rnacentral:pre_miRNA from 1 species
AUGUAGUGUGACAUGCCCGUUGGGUUGUUACUCUGAUGAAUUAUUUAUUAUUUAAUUGAUUUUGGGAACGGGGUGUUACAAUACU